rnacentral:rRNA from 1 species
AUGUAAUGACUAUAGUGUUAAUGCACCAGAUCACAUUAGAACUCCGUAAUUAAGCGUGUUUGGGCUAGAGUAGUACUGGGAUGGGUGACCUCUUAGGAAGUCCUAGUGUUUUAAAUA